rnacentral:misc_RNA from 1 species
AACCUAGCACACCUGCGGUGUGUACCUGCGGAAGGAUCAUUACACAAUACAAUAUGAAGGCUGUCCGCAGCUGGAGUAUUUUAUUACCCUUGUCUUUUGCGCACUUGUUGUUUCCUGGGCGGGUUCGCUCGCCACCAGGACCACCAAAUAAACCUUUUUUAUGCAGUUGCAAUCAGCGUCAGUACAAACAAUGUAAAUCAUUUACAACUUUUAACAACGGAUCUCAGAUCGGAAGAGCAC